rnacentral:rRNA from 1 species
UACGGAGGGUGCAAGCGUUGCUCGGAAUUAUUGGGCGUAAAGCGCACGCAGGUGGCGAGGUAAGUCAGAUGUGAAACUCCCGGGCUUAACUUGGGAACGGCAUCUGAAACUGCCUUGCUUGAGUACGGAAGAGGGGAGUGGAAUUCCCAGUGUAGAGGUGAAAUUCGUAGAUAUUGGGAGGAACACCGGUGGCGAAGGCGGCUCCCUGGUCCGAUACUGACACUCAUGCGCGAAAGCGUGGGGAGCAAACAGG